UACGGGGGGGGCAAGCGUUGUUCGGAAUUACUGGGCGUAAAGGGCGCGUAGGCGGUCUUCUAAGUCUUGUGUGAAAUCCCUCGGCUCAACUGAGGAACUGCACGGGAUACUGGAAGACUUGAGUUCGGGAGAGGGAAGCGGAAUUCCGGGUGUAGCGGUGAAAUGCGUAGAUAUCCGGAGGAACACCGGUGGCGAAGGCGGCUUCCUGGACCGAUCACUGACGCUGAGGUGCGAAAGCGUGGGGAGCAAACAGG
rnacentral:rRNA from 1 species